UACGUAGGGUGCGAGCGUUGUCCGGAAUUAUUGGGCGUAAAGAGCUUGUAGGCGGUUUGUCGCGUCUGCUGUGAAAAUCCGGGGCUCAACCCCGGACUUGCAGUGGGUACGGGCAGACUAGAGUCAGGUAGGGGAGAACGGAAUUCCUGGUGUAGCGGUGAAAUGCGCAGAUAUCAAGGAGGACACCGGUGGCGAAGGCGGUUCUCUGGGCGAUGACCUGACGCUCAGGUGCGAAAGCUAGGGGAGCGAACAGG
rnacentral:rRNA from 1 species